rnacentral:lncRNA from 1 species
GAACACUUUUUUUUAUGCAUUCAGCGCCAUCACAUCGCUUCCAGGAGGUUUCAAGAUGCUGAUUUAUGGGCAGGAAGAUGGUGCAACUAAGUCCUGUCGCCUCCCAGCGCCAGAGCCUCUGAGCAAGAAGUUUGCAGAAAUCGACAGAAGGAUCAAAGGACAAAAAGAAAGAUGCUGGA